CUGCAAGAAAGAAGUCUCGAGGAGGUCUCCGACGGAAGCGGGGAAGAUAAAGUAGCGGCAGGAUGGGUAGGAGAUCCAAAUCACGAAACCAAGCAAAAGGGUCAUCAGGGGCUACCUUCUCGAUCCAAAUCUUUUGAUCUGUUCAAGGAAGCAGGUAUCGAAAGGAAGGAUUCACGCAUCAGCUAAUCCUAUAGCUGCUUUUGGACAAGCAUAUGGAGCCUUGGCAUGCAGGAAACAACAAUCCCCCUACGUCAGUGCCAUAUAUUUUGUGAUGUGAAAGAGGUUAAGAAUGAAGCAUCGGUGAUACAAAACUCAGGAACAGGUAUUGGACACAUUCAACAACCAUAAUGAUUUCACUAAUUUACAAGACGUUUGGUUAAGGCACUAAUCCUCCUUUGGCUUAUUAUGUGUCCGUUUGCUCUCUUCCUUCACGGCGGAUGACUAUCUAAAGUUAGAAAUAAUUAGAUCAUCUCGUCUAGAGGAGUUUAAUAUGUAUUAAGAAUAAGAUACAUGUCAAAGGACACGUUGUUUGCUGAUCCAAAUAAAGAGCAA